rnacentral:rRNA from 1 species
AUGGCGACCAGCUCCGGCGGCGGCUAUGGCGGAGAAGGUCUCGACGGCUCCGGCGGCGGUGGUCAUUCUUCCGGUGGCCGCUGCCCGCAAUGCGACCCCGUUGGCAAGUUGGGCCCCAACCCCGAUGGCGAUUCACACUCGACGGUGGAUUGGGGGAAAGAUGUCCUGCCGCCACCGUCGCAGCAUGCGGAGGAGGCAGAGAAGGAUGUUGCGGACGCGGAGAAGGCGUCAGCGGCGGCUGAUUCGUUGGGGGAGGAAGUACCCCCCGGGCAUCCAUCUCCACCCAGGCCUGAGGAGCCAUGGUCAUUAUAUUUUCAGUUUCCUUCUAAAGAUGCUGCCAAAAAAUAUGCCCUUGUGAAGAUGUAUGAGAGAGACAUCACUUAUGGCAAUUUGCUUAAUGUGAUGGUCAGAAAUGGAUAUGGAAGUGAUGACAGUAUUUGCUACUUGAGGAAGGAUUGCACAGGGCUGCAAGGGAUUACUUUCGUCAGAAACAACACUGAAGUGGAUGAGAUGAUAAAGCGGUUUAAAAAUAGUCAGACACUGUGUUUGUAUGUUAAAGAGGGGAAAUUAGAUAUAAAGCAAGCAUCAGUUAACAAAAGUGCAGAAGAUGAAGAAGUGGACCCAGAUGAAACAAUUGAAGAUUUAACAGUGGACCCACCAGUUGUAUUUGCUGUUAAUGAGUCAGGUGUUGUGCACAAAACAAACACUGAUCAUGUUGGCUCAUCAUAUUUUCUUGGUACAUAA